rnacentral:rRNA from 1 species
AGUGGCGAACGGGUGAGUAACGCGUGGGAAUCUGCCCUGGAGUGGGGAACAACAGUUGGAAACGACUGCUAAUACCGCAUACGCCCUGAGGGGGAAAGGCUUCGGCCGCUCUUGGAUGAUCCCGCGUCUGAUUAGCUUGUUGGUGGGGUAACGGCCUACCAAGGCGACGAUCAGUAGCUGGUCUGAGAGGAUGAUCAGCCACACUGGGACUGAGACACGGCCCAGACUCCUACGGGAGGCAGCAGUGGGGAAUAUUGGACAAUGGGGGAAACCCUGAUCCAGCAAUGCCGCGUGAGUGAAGAAGGCCUUAGGGUUGUAAAACUCUUUCGCCGGUGAAGAUGAUGACUGUAGCCGGUAAAGAAGCCCCGGCUAACUCCGUGCCAGCAGCCGCGGUAAUACGGAGGGGGCUAGCGUUGUUCGGAUUUACUGGGCGUAAAGCGCACGUAGGCGGCAUAUUAAGUUAGAGGUGAAAGGCCUGGGCUCAACCUAGGAACUGCCUUUAAUACUGAUAUGCUUGAGUUCGGAAGAGGGUAGUGGAAUUCCAAGUGUAGAGGUGAAAUUCGUAGAUAUUUGGAAGACACCGGGUGGCGAAGGCGGCUACCUGGUCCGAUACUGACGCUGAGUGCGAAAGCGUGGGGAGCGACAGAAUUAGAUACCCUGGUAGUCACGUCGU